CACAAUUGUUUCUUGAGCAGCAAAUCAGCAUUUUAGAAUGAUUUCUAAAGGAUCAUGUGACACUGAAGACUAGUGGAAUGAUGCUGAAAAUACAGCUGCGCAUCACAAAAAUAAAUUACACUUUAACAGAUAUUCACAAAGAAACCAGUUAUUUUGAAUUGUAAAAAUAUUUUCACAUUUUUACUGUAUUUUAGAUCAAAUAAAUGCAGCCUCGGUGAGCAGAAGAGACUUCUAUAUGUCCAGCCAUUGGUCAAAAACAGCUAUUUUGAAGUAAAGUUUUAUGAAACAAAUAAACGUCUAUUAAAACGCUGAACCAGUUGUUUUAUUGCAAAUUAAUAAUUUUGACUGCUUAUUCAGUGAGUAUGACUGUAGUAUGAAUAUUAAACGUCCUCUGAUUCUACAGCA